rnacentral:rRNA from 1 species
UGGGGAAUCUUGCACAAUGGGGGAAACCCUGAUGCAGCGACGCCGCGUGAGCGAUGAAGGUUUUCGAAUCGUAAAGCUCUGUCCUAUGGGAAGAUAAUGACGGUACCAUGGGAGGAAGCCCCGGCUAACUACGUGCCAGCAGCCGCGGUAAUACGUAGGGGGCGAGCGUUGUCCGGAAUUACUGGGCGUAAAGGGUUCGCAGGCGGCAUGGCAAGUCCGAUGUAAAAGGCGAAGGCUCAACCUUCGUAAGCAUCGGAAACUGUCAAGCUUGAGUGAAGGAGAGGCAAGUGGAAUUCCUAGUGUAGCUGUGGAAUGCGUAGAUAUUAGGAGGAAUACCGGUGGCGAAGGCGACUUGCUGGACUUCAACUGACGCUGAGGAACGAAAGCGUGGGUAGCAAACAGG